rnacentral:rRNA from 1 species
GACGAACGCUGGCGGCGUGCCUAACACAUGCAAGUCGAACGGGGCGGAGGAAGCUUGCUUCCGAAGCUUAGUGGCGAACGGGUGAGUAACGCGUGAGGAACCUGCCUUUCAGUGGGGGACAACAGUUGGAAACGACUGCUAAUACCGCAUAAUGUAUCUGGACCGCAUGAUCCGGAUACCAAAGCUUUAUGUGCUGAAAGAUGGCCUCGCGUCUGAUUAGCUAGUUGGAGGGGUAACGGCCCACCAAGGCGACGAUCAGUAGCCGGUCUGAGAGGAUGAACGGCCACAUUGGGACUGAGAUACGGCCCAGACUCCUACGGAGGCAGCAGUGGGGAAUAUUGGGCAAUGGGCGAAAGCCUGACCCAGCAACGCCGCGUGAAGGAAGAA